rnacentral:tRNA from 1 species
GGGGUUGUGGCUCAGUGGUAGAGCGCUUGCCUAGCACGUGAGAAGAUCUGGGUUCGAUCCUCAGCACCA